AGGUGCUUCCUUCUUGCUUCUGACGAGCUACACGUUUGCUUCUUCCCUGUGUUCCCAGCUGGAGGGACAUGAGUGUCCCUGGGCCGUCGUCUCCGGACGGGGCCCUGACACGGCCACCCUACUGCCUGGAGGCCGGGGAGCCGACGCCUGUUUGCUGAGGCUAAACACUAUCAUGCCAAGUUGGUGAAUAUAAGAAAAGAGAUGCUGAUGCUUCAUGAAAAAACAUCAAAGUUAAAAGUGAGUUGAAAAUUCUUUCACAUUCUUUACAAAAGUAGAGGUUUAAUUGUUUUUUUUUUUUUCAGUAUUCUUUUUUUUUUUUGAGACGGAGUUUUGCUCUUGCCGCCCAGGCUGGAGUGCAAUGGUGCAAUCUCGGCUCACUGUAACCUCUGCCUCCCGGGUUGAAGCGAUUCUUCUGCCUCAGCUCCCCAGGUAGCUGGGAUUACAGGUGCCCGCCACCACGCCCACCUAAGUUUUGUAUUUUUAGUA
rnacentral:sRNA from 1 species